rnacentral:rRNA from 1 species
AUUGAACGCUGGCGGCAUGCCUUACACAUGCAAGUCGAACGGCAGCACGGGUGCUUGCACCUGGUGGCGAGUGGCGAACGGGUGAGUAAUACAUCGGAACGUACCUUAUCGUGGGGGAUAACGCAGCGAAAGCUGUGCUAAUACCGCAUACGCCCUGAGGGGGAAAGCGGGGGAUCGAAAGACCUCGCGCGAUUAGAGCGGCCGAUGCCUGAUUAGCUUGUUGGUGGGGUAAAAGCCCACCAAGGCGACGAUCAGUAGCUGGUCUGAGAGGACGACCAGCCACACUGGGACUGAGACACGGCCCAAACUCCUACGGGAGGCAGCAGUGGGGAAUUUUGGACAAUGGGGGCAACCCUGAUCCAGCAAUGCCGCGUGAGUGAAGAAGGCCUUCGGGUUGUAAAGCUCUUUUGUCAGGGAAGAAACACCGGCUCUAACACAGUCCGGGAAUGACGGUACCUGAAGAAUAAGCACCGGCUAACUACGUGCCAGCAGCCGCCGUAA